rnacentral:rRNA from 1 species
AACGAACGCUGGCGGCAGGCCUAACACAUGCAAGUCGAACGCAUCGCAAGAUGAGUGGCGCACGGGUGAGUAACACGUGGGAAUGUGCCCUUUGGUUCGGAAUAACGUCUGGAAACGGACGCUAAUACCGGAUGUCCCCUGCGGGGGAAAGAUUUAUCGCCAAAGGAGCAGCCUGCGUCUGAUUAGGUAGUUGGUGGGGUAAAGGCCUACCAAGCCGACGAUCAGUAGCUGGUCUGAGAGGAUGAUCAGCCACACUGGGACUGAGACACGGCCCAGACUCCUACGGGAGGCAGCAGUGGGGAAUAUUGGACAAUGGGCGCAAGCCUGAUCCAGCCAUGCCGCGUGAGUGAUGAAGGCCUUCGGGUUGUAAAGCUCUUUCGCACACGACGAUGAUGACGGUAGUGUGAGAAGAAGCCCCGGCUAACUUCGUGCCAGCCGCCGCAGUAACAC